rnacentral:lncRNA from 12 species
AAAAAAUAUCAGUAAGGAUUUAAUAAAAAAGAAGAUUAAAAAAGUAUUUUCUGACACAAGUUGUUUUAAGAGAAUGUGGAGAAACGGGGUUCAGGCCGAGGAAAAGCAACCUUUCAUUACUCCACAAAUUUGAAAAGUUUCCUGAGUGCAGAGCCUCAUUAUCUUGACCGGGGUUGUCAUCCCAUGGUUUUCUAGAAAAAGGGAAAAAUACCCCGCUCCACCAACUGUACAACUGCUCAAAGUCUUAAAACAUACUUAGGAGUUCUCCCAAGGGAGGGAUGAAGCAAUGAUUAGAGAAGAGAGACAGAGAGCAAGGAGACACAUAUGGUGGGAGUAGUAUAAUGCAUUGAGCCUUCCUUGAAGCUUCAUUAAAAUUAUAUCUAAAGAACCGAUUAUAAGAAAAUGAUUAAUAAUACAAUAACACGGAGCAACUGUUCUGCAGAGUUGUUUGGAGUUGUGGGCUUUUCCAUCAGCACUCUGUUUUGUUCUCUGCUUCCAUCCAUGCAGGGAAGCAAAUGCCCGUCACCAAUUUUUUUUUUUUCCUUCUCAUCAAGCAAUAAGAACCAUCAUUUGGUAAAAACAAAGGAUACAUCUGCUUUCUGGGCAGCCAGCACAGAAGGAAGAUUAGUAAGCAAGAUGUGUGCUUCACCAUUAUGUGGUGCAAAGGAGAAGUGUCAGCCAGCUGGUGACUCCAGGUGCACCUGGUGGGAGAGAGGACUCCAGACCACUCCUAUGGUUGGAUUACAGAGGAGCUCAGACCCUUCCUGACCUAGAUCUUUACGUUUCUGUGCUAGCAGUUCAUUCUUUAUCAGUAAUGAUCUUUCUGGAGCCAUUUGAUUUGUCUGUGCAGUGACACAUGACAUUUGGAUAAACCACGAUUUAUUUCCUCACUGGCUCCACGCAUGGAGUUUCGUGACAUGUUUCACAGGAGAUCACCUGUGAUGAGGACAAAGGUCAGUGGAAAGCUGUUCAAACGGAGAAGUUUGGCCUCAAGAAGCCCAUCUGAACCUCAACUCUCGACCUGUUCAUUGACCGUGUUUGCUAAUUGGGUCUUCAGUGCAAAACAAGAAACAACGUUCAGCAUUGCUAACUGUUUGUUUAGCCAGAACAUGAAAAUCAAUCUACUGAUGACCAAAAGGGCAUAGCAAACAACAUCCCUGUGGAGUUGGGUGUUUUUGGCCUUGGCAUUCAACAGAUGUGGUCUGAGAGCUCCUACAACCUGUGUGCAGAUGCAGUUCACAUAAUUAAUGCUAGAUUGGCUUCUUGCAUGUAGGACUGCAGAGAGUUGGAUAGAAAGGGAGGGAGCCUGAGGUUAGUAGAAAUAAGUUGACCUCAGAAGGUUGUUGGGAUUCAGAAGAAAUGAUGGUGCAUAUUUUGAUCAUUCUUUUCUUUAAUCACUUCUCAGUGAUUUUUGCAGCUUGUGAAGGGAAAUAAACAAACACAAAACAAAAUAUCUCCA